rnacentral:rRNA from 1 species
CCUACGGGAGGCAGCAGUGAGGAAUAUUGGUCAAUGGACGAGAGUCUGAACCAGCCAAGUAGCGUGAAGGAUGACUGCCCUGUGGAUUGUAAACUUCUUUUAUAUGGGAAUAAAAUGUUCCACGUGUGGGAUUUUGUAUGUACCAUAUGAAUAAGGAUCGGCUAACUCCGUGCCAGCAGCCGCGGUAAUACGGAGGAUCCGAGCGUUAUCCGGAUUUAUUGGGUUUAAAGGGAGCGUAGGUGGAUUGUUAAGUCAGUUGUGAAAGUUUGCGGCUCAACCGUAAAAUUGCAGUUGAAACUGGCAGUCUUGAGUACAGGAGAGGUGGGCGGAAUGCGUGGUGUAGCGGUGAAAUGCUUAGAUAUCACGAAGAACUCCGAGUGCGAAGGCAGCUUACUGGACUGCAACUGACACUGAGGCUCGAAAGUGUGGGUAUCAAACAGGAUUAGAUACCCCUGUAGUC